UCCUAGUCAGAUUCGUUUCCACUGCACCAUGACAGUAACUCCCAAAAAAUGAUUUAUAUUUUGAAAAUUCCCUUCUCAUUUCUGAAUCUCUAGACAGAUAGAGAGAUAAAUAGAUAGAUAGGUAGACAGAUUUACACACAAAUACAUAGAGAAGGGCAGAGAGAGGGGAAGAGAUUUUUUAUAGGAAAUAAGAAGUAUACACACCCACACACACGCACAAGUUGUAUCCAGCCCAUCUCGUAUCUCAUGUAAUCAAUCUAGGACAAAUAUUCAGACAAGGAACAAGUAAACUUUAUUCCUGGGAACUUGGAGACUCUGGGAAGCUUCUCGGGAGACUGAGAGCAACACAUUCCUCUGGCCCUCAGGUCUCCUUGGAUUGCUGAACACUCUUUUCAGAGCUUUUUUAAUCACCUCCUGUAAUGCUCAUUUCCUUCCUCUGUCCAAGACACGCAACAAAAUGGAACUUGUCAGCUGCGCUUAAGGUGAGAAAACUGGCGAUUAAAGAAGUUUAGUAGCUUUCUCAAGCGCAUACAUCUAGUAUGUGUUGGUGCAGGGGUUUAUAAACCAGACAGUCUGACUCCAGACUUGUGGCCCAUCACUGCUAAGAAGUCACUGUUCCAGAGGAGAAGCCAGACUUGUAAACAGAUAAAUAUAAUUCAAAGAGGCAUUUGUCUUAUUGACUGCUGAAACUGAAAAUAUACUUAAAAGACUGAAAUUGAGGUUAGAAGAAUCGAAAAGAUUGACCAAUAUGAAUUUCUAGCUAUGUCUCUACUUUUUCUUUAUGGCAAGAAGAACAGCAAACUGAUGAAUUGAUGGAAAAUGAGCUUUAGCAAAUAUGUGGACAAUAAAAUUGAAAGGAGUUACUCAGUGCUCACCUUCCAAAGAAAUCCUGAGGAAAUACCUGCUUUUUCAGUGAACUCUCUGAAUGUACUCUCUCUUGACCUUGAAUUCAGGGGAAAUAAAUAUAUUUG